rnacentral:rRNA from 1 species
ACGGAAGGCAGCAGUGGGGGAUAUUGCACAAUGGAGGAAACUCUGAUGCAGCAACGCCGCGUGAGGGAAGAAGGUUUUCGGAUUGUAAACCUCUGUUUUCGGUGAAGAAACAAAUGACGGUAGCCGAAGAGGAAGCCACGGCUAACUACGUGCCAGCAGCCGCGGUAAUACGUAGGUGGCAAGCGUUGUCCGGAUUUACUGGGUGUAAAGGGUGCGCAGGCGGGACUGCAAGUUGGACGUGAAAUACCGAGGCUUAACCUCGGAGCUGCAUCCAAAACUGUGGUUCUUGAGUGGAGUAGAGGUAAGCGGAAUUCCGAGUGUAGCGGUGAAAUGCGUAGAUAUUCGGAGGAACACCGGUGGCGAAGGCGGCUUUCUGGACUGUAACUGACGUUGAGGCACGAAAGUGUGGGGAGCAAACAGGAUUAGAUACCCUGGUA